AAAAAGCCAUGUUCCACCUUGACUGAGCCAGAACUUUGAAUAUUAUUGUGUGCAGAAAUGUUGGUUGUGCAGGAAAUAUUCUUAUGUUAUUUAUGCUACAUGUGAGAUACAUUCUGAGAAAUGUAUAACAUGGUCCACCUUCAUAAAUACAUUCCUUUAAUUUGUGUGUGUGUGUGUGUUUUUUUUUUUGUUGUUGUUGUUGUUGUUGUUUUGAGACAGGGUUUCUCUGUGUAGCCCUGGGUGUCCUGGAACUCACUCUGAAGACCAGGCUGGCUUCGUACUCAGAAAUCUGCCUGCCUCUAUAAAAUACAUUGCUUUGUCCACCUCGUGAUAACUACUUUUGGUACCCACCAGUUUAUAAGUAAGGUGUUACAUGUGCAUUAGUUGCAAAUAAGGUAAGUGUUCAAUUUAGUUCCCUUCAAAGUAUUUCAUUGUGACCUUAGUGUAGAUAAUCAUGAUAUAAAAAUAUAUCAAAUGAAGGGCAGACGUGGUGGCAUACACCUUUAAUCUCAGGACUCAGGAAGAAGGGGCAUGUGUAUCUCUGUAGUCUGCACUGGACCUGAGCUACGUAGUGAGUUCCAGGAUACGCAGGGCUAUGUAGAGAGACCCCCGUCAACACAAAAAAGUGUAUAAGCUGGAUGCUUAAUGCUUAAUCACCAUUAAAAAAUUGCUUAUAAAAGAGGGCACAUAUAUAUCACCUUAAGUACAACCUUUGUAAAUCAGAGGCUUUAAAAAUUAUUUAAUUGCUCAGUGGUGUUUUAAGCCUAGGUAUAUAUAUAUAUAUAUAUAUAUAUAUAUAUAUAUAUAUACAUAUAUGUAUAUCAAGCUGGUGUGUUGAGCUUUAUUGUUUUAUUCUUUCUACUUUUUAAACUUUUUUCAUAGUAGAAAGGACUAUACGUAUCUAUCUAAUAUAUAUCACAAUCUCUGUAAGACUACAUACACAUUCCUUAUCAAGUAUUGGCUAUUUAUCUUUUCUUGAAAUAGUUUCAUACAGAAAAAUUAGAAUGUGAAAACACACAACAUGUAAUUUAUUCCCAUGUUAGUAUAAAAAGUACUAAAGCAUGAAUCUUUAGCUCUGUGGUGAAAUUUCACUUUGCUAAUAUAUCUAUUUUUUUAUUUUUUUCUAGGAUUAUUUUUAUCCAAAAUAUUUAGGUAAGUUUAAGCAUCUGAAGCAUAAAAUCUUGGAAAUUGAAGGGAACUUAGAUAUGGUCAAGCAUCACCUUCUGGCCAUAGCCCAUCCAAUACUAACUUAUCAUCCUUGAGAAGAUGCAAGAGCUAUGAUGCUCUUGUAUAUAAAGUCAUGCUGACUGAUUUGGAAUGACGCUUUACUAUGUUGAACUGUCACUGUUAGUUUUACAUGUCUUUCUGCUAAAAUAUCUUUAGGCUGAUGCCAAUGAUAUUCAGACACCCAGACACUAUUUGCAAAUAUAUUCUCAUAGGCUGUCUUUCACAAAAUGAAAGAUAUCUAAGAUCAUCCAAACGUGUGUUAUACAGGUAUCCCUCACCCAUUUGUAGAAGUCUUUCACAACUCCUCUCUCUGUGAUAUCAUCUCAUCACUUCCUACAGCCUCUCAUUCAUGAUGUUUUGGAUUCUGGGCUCUCAGUGGGGUAAUAUUUGGACACUAAUAUAUGUUACAUGACUUCAAUUAAAGUAACAAAGCCUGUUUUCUUAAAGCAAAUGUAUUAAUAUUAAUAUUAUUUGGAAAUGUCAUUUCUGCUUCCAAAUAUUAGGGUUUCUAAUUUCCACAUCUGUUUCUCAUGUAAUUCUCUGUGUUUACAACAGCUUUAUGUUCUUCUUCCCAGCUUUCCUUUCAGAAUUCCUCUUUCCUAUGCUUGGUUUCACCCCAUUACCUCUAGCCAACUAGAAAUAGAAAGGAAGUCAUUGGGAAAAUAUAGGAAUGAAUUCUGAUAUUAUUGUUAAUAUAGUCUUGUAAAUGAUUAAGCCAUUAAACCCAAUACUCUUGG
rnacentral:lncRNA from 1 species